UUGACACGGUUUAAACCAUUUGCUUACUAAUACAACGAAUUUCAUUUCAGUUCUUGAUGUAGACCAUCCAACCGUCCAAUACAUUGCGACCAACAAAUCGCGUAGAUUGAUCGUAAAUGGCCACUCUUUCACCCGUAAAAAGCGAACCGAGCGGUAUACAAUCUGGGAGUGUUGCCAAUCGAGACCUCUAGGAUGCAAGGCUGCGGUCACAACCUAUCUGGAGAACACCGGUGCAGUUAACAUUCGUGGAUCGCACAAUCACGCCGUCGUAACGGAACGACGGAGAUUGGGCCAGCGAAAGCAGCUGAUGGAGGAACGUCAGAGGGAGAGAAUACGUAGGAAAAUUAAUAUAGAGGAAGCGACAGUUUAACUCUUCCUAAUCCUGAAAUUUUACAAAAUAUGGUGUAUUGUCCAAAUGAACUGCUUAUUUGAAUCGAUAUACACAAAACAAAUAAACUGAAAAUCUGAAUCUGGUUUAUGUAGUUCUAGUACUUCGUUCGAUUUAACCACGUGGUCUUUGAUUACUCUUACUUAUUUACAGAUGUAACUUUUACAAUGCAAAAACUACAGGGUUAAGGCAAGGUACUUAAAAGAACAAGUAAUGGUCUGAUCAAUCGAUUCUUUAAACGAUCAAAAUCACUCAAACGACAUAUCUCAUUUUAUCACUAGAAAUUUAGUUCUUUGUUUCAUUGAAUUAUUUUUUACAGCUGCUUGGAGCGGUAAACUAAUCUGUGGCAAACUGUUUGUCUCAUUUACUCUGUUGUUUACGCAUGUCUUUGCACUCGGUAGCAGAAAAUGGAACCGAACCACCUCAUGUCCAGUAUACGAUCAGUAGUCGUGGAACUCCGCUGCUAUUGCUCGACGGGUUCACCUUUACCAGGGAUAAAGAACGUAACAGUUUUACCUCGUGGAAAUGUGCCCAACAUCGUACACAUUGGUAUGGCUAUGCGAAAGCUUGCUCUAGUAUUUCAUAUUUUACCAUUCACUCUUGUACUCCUUAUAGCUGCAAGGCUCGUGCCAACGCCGUCCGGGAUCGCAGUGGCCAGAAGAAAAUCGUAAUCAAACACUCGCACAAUCAUCCGCUCGUAACCGAGCGAAGAAAGAAAAGUUCCUCUAGAUAAAUAAAUGCGCUACUUCUAGUACCUCAGCCAUAGCUAACCGACAACUGAGUUUUUUCAUUGAUUAUUUUGUUGUUUUUUUUUCAAAAUAAUAUUUGCUUCACAAUCUUAUUUGUUCUUUUAUAUUACCUUGAAGCAAUAUUCUGAAAUUAUAGUAUUAUUUUCGAAUUAUCUGUAUUGUCACGGUCGCCAUGUACUAUGUUGUUCUCUUGUCUUCAACAUUUUACCAAAGCCAUGGCCAAACAGAAAGCCAAAAAGAGCUUUUCAAAUUCAGCCUUGCAAUUGACAUGAUCUAGUACAACAGUAGUCUUCAAUAACUCUUAUGGUGAUCUUUUUGCUCAACAUCUGAACUUCUCAAAUUCUGACUCGGCAUGAUGUGCAUCAGAUGUACAAUGAGCUGCCAAUUUUCAGUUAAUGGAAUGGUCUUUUUUCUACCUCAACAAAUUGUCACGCACCAUAUGCAUAAAUUCUUCAAUUUCAAAAUGUUGUUUAAGCUCUUGCUAUUCCACAGCUGAGGAAAAAACAUGUCGGACCAAGAUUGUCAAAAUACCUAAACUUGGAAGAUCAUUUAGUGGUCUUCUAGUACAUCAGUGAUUAUUUUUUGCUUGUUUUCUAUGCUGUCUUAGCACAUGCAGACAAGACAUAAUGUACAUUAUUCAUACCAUAAACUGUGAAUUUUCAGUCGAAAAGUGAUUCUCUAGUACCUCAAUGUAAACUUUCUAAUCAUAUCAUACAAUUUUCCCUAGCACCAGUAACCUACACGGUGAACAAUCGUGGCAAUCGACGAAUAUGUCACCUGGGAUAUCUUUUCGAUGCGGAGAAAAGACGACACAAAUCCACCAGCUGGCGAUGCUGCCAGGCAAAGAAGCUUCAGUGUAAGGCUCGGAUAGUCGAGCGAAUCUCAAAGUGGGGCGAGCCAUCAUAUGAAUUUGUGCGGUCUGUGCACAAUCAUGGUGUCGAUCCUGGUGACACGCUGCUGGGAUUAAGCUUCAAACUUUAAGAAGCAAUGUUACCGAAGUACAAUACGUGUUGAGCGCUCGUGGAGGCUUACAGCUAUGCAUCGAUGGCUUCCGCUACACACGUGAUCGGAUUAAAGAUAACAAAAUUAUCUACCGUUGCGUGCACUACAAACCCUUAGGAUGCAAAGCACGUGCCCACACCGAUAAGGAUGACCCCAAGGUGAAGAUUAUCGAGAUGGAACACAACCAUCCACUGAAGAUGGACCGCCGAAAAAGUGGAGCCCUGCGGCAGCUACUGGAGCAACGCAAACAAGAAAAUCGAGCGGCGGGUGUGCGUGCAAGUCGAAAAAAGUGAUGGCGAUCAGUUUUUCGGCGAUAAUCUAGUACU